rnacentral:rRNA from 1 species
AUUGAACGCUGGCGGCAGGCUUAACACAUGCAAGUCGAGCGGGGGAAGGUAGCUUGCUACCGGACCUAGCGGCGGACGGGUGAGUAAUGCUUAGGAAUCUGCCUAUUAGUGGGGGACAACAUCUCGAAAGGGAUGCUAAUACCGCAUACGUCCUACGGGAGAAAGCAGGGGAUCUUCGGACCUUGCGCUAAUAGAUGGGCCUAAGUCGGAUUAGCUAGUUGGUGGGGUAAAGGCCUACCAAGGCGACGAUCUGUAGCGGGUCUGAGAGGAUGAUCCGCCACACUGGGACUGAGACACGGCCCAGACUCCUACGGGAGGCAGCAGUGGGGAAUAUUGGACAAUGGGGGGAACCCUGAUCCAGCCAUGCCGCGUGUGUGAAGAAGGCCUUACGGUUGUAAAGCACUUUAAGCGAGGAGGAGGCUACUUUAGUUAAUACCUAGAGAUAGUGGACGUUACUCGCAGAAUAAGCACCGGCUAACUCUGUGCCAGCAGCCGCAGUAA